GACGAACGCUGGCGGCGUGCUUAACACAUGCAAGUCGAACGGAAAGGCCCUGCUUUUGUGGGGUGCUCGAGUGGCGAACGGGUGAGUAACACGUGAGUAACCUGCCCUUGACUUUGGGAUAACUUCAGGAAACUGGGGCUAAUACCGGAUAGGAGCUCCUGCUGCAUGGUGGGGGUUGGAAAGUUUCGGCGGUUGGGGAUGGACUCGCGGCUUAUCAGCUUGUUGGUGGGGUAGUGGCUUACCAAGGCUUUGACGGGUAGCCGGCCUGAGAGGGUGACCGGCCAAAUUGGGACUGAGAUACGGCCCAGACUCCUAAGGGAGGCAGCAGGGGGGAAUAUUGCACAAUGGGCGGAAGCCUGAUGCAGCAACGCCGCGGGGGGGAUGACGGCCUUCGGGUUGUAAACCGCUUUCGCCUGUGACGAAGCGUGAGUGACGGUAAUGGGUAAAGAAGCACCGGCUAACUACGUG
rnacentral:rRNA from 1 species